rnacentral:rRNA from 1 species
UGGGGAAUUUUGGACAAUGGGGGCAACCCUGAUCCAGCGACGCCGCGUGAAGGAUGAAGGUCUUCGGAUUGUAAACUUCUUUUGGAGGGGAUGAAUGCCUACGUGAAAAACGUAGGGUGACAGUACUCUCUGAAUAAGCCACGGCUAACUACGUGCCAGCAGCCGCGGUAAUACGUAGGUGGCAAGCGUUACUCGGAAUCACUAGGCGUAAAGCGCAGGUAGGCGGUUUGGUAAGUCUGUUGUGAAAGCUCCUGGCUUAACUGGGAGAGGUCAACGGAAACUACCAGGCUCGAGUGUGGUAGAGGUAGCUGGAAUUCCCGGUGUAGCGGUGAAAUGCGUAGAUAUCGGGAGGAAUACCUAUGGCGAAAGCAGGCUACUGGACCAUCACUGACGCUGAUCUGCGAAAGCUAGGGGAGCAAACAG